AACACUGGAGGAUAUUGAAACCAAGAUUACAGAAAAGCAAGAGAGAAAAUCAUGUCUUUGCAGCAUUGGAAGAUGUAACCAUUUAAGAGAACUUGAUAUUCAUUACUUUUUAACAGUGAUGCAGGUUGUCUGGGUGCGCAUAUAAAUGCAUCUCUAUCAAUUUUUCUGAAAAAGUAACGACAUUGUUAGGGCAGGAUGCAAGCAUUAAUAUGUUCUUAAAAGCUUGUAUAAAUAGAA
rnacentral:misc_RNA from 1 species